rnacentral:rRNA from 1 species
GUUCCGUAGGCGGAUGAUUAAGUCCAGGGGUGAAAGUUUGCAGCUCAACUGUAAAAUUGCCUUUGAUACUGGUCAUCUUGAGUUGUAUUGAAGUAGGCGGAAUAUGUAGUGUAGCGGUGAAAUGCAUAGAUAUUACAUAGAACACCAAUUGCGAAGGCAGCUUACUAAGUACUAACUGACGCUGAUGGACGAAAGCGUGGGUAGCGAACAGGAUUAGAUACCCUGGUAGUCCACGCCGUAAACGAUGGAUACUAGCUGUUCGGGGCCUUGAGCUCUGAGCGGCUAAGCGAAAGUGAUAAGUAUCCCACCUGGGGAGUACGUUCGCAAGAAUGAAACUCAAAGGAAUUGACGGGGGCCCGCACAAGCGGUGGAGCAUGUGGUUUAAUUCGAUGAUACGCGAGGAACCUUACCAGGGCUUAAAUGUAGUCUGACAGCUUUAGAGAUAGAGUUUUCUUCGGACAGAUUACAAGGUGCUGCAUGGUUGUCGUCAGCUCGUGCCGUGAGGUGUCAGGUUAAGUCCUAUAACGAGCGCAACCCCUGUUGUUAGUUGCCAGCGAGUCAUGUCGGGAACUCUAGCAAGACUGCCAGUGCAAACUGUGAGGAAGGUGGGGAUGACGUCAAAUCAUCACGGCCCUUACGUCCUGGGCUACACACGUGCUACAAUGGUAGGAACAGAGAGCAGCCACUGGGUAACCAGGAGCGAAUCUACAAACCCUAUCUCAGUUCGGAUCGGAGUCUGNAACUCGACUCCGUGAAGCUUCAAUGCGCUAANGAAUCGCAUAUUCAGCCAUGAUGCGGNAANACUAR